ACUGUAACACAAUUGACCCCAUUUUUAAUUGUGUUUAAUUGUCAUAACAAUUAUGUACUAUUUAAUGACUUAAUAUUAAUUCCUAUGUUUUCGCUGUUUACCUGUACUCUUAUAGUAGUCUGUUUACCUGGACGCAUGAAUGACAGAGGUCAUUCGACCGUGCAGAAUGCAGCGCUUAGACAAGGACGUACUUGUACACGUGCCGGGGGCAACAGAGCAGAACCGUGAAGACCGCUACCUGGACGCCAAUCAAGGACACAGUUACUGGUGAACCAACACUCUUCUCGAUGAUCUACUCACUGACCAGGACGUUCUGACAAUUGUUGUCAUUCGAGUGUGGCUGAUUGACAGUUAAACUAAUUACUACACAAAGACUGUGUAAACGUAUUUUAACGACUGGAUCUUUUAUGGACAGUUUACGAGCUUCAAAAGUAAUGACCACGUUAAUGCCCACGCAUCAGUGACAAGGGGGCGUUUCUAGUGACCGUAUAUACGAACUGACAUGGACAGAGUGAAGCAGUCCUCAACUGACCACCAGUGAGGAACGGUCUCCCUCUGUUGUUACACCCGGCUUCCCAAAGUGUUGUCUGACUUUUUAUUAUUAUAUUUUUCAUUACUCUUGUUCAGUGACUCUGACAUUCUAAAAGACUUUAAAUUAUUAUCAACAAUUAUUCUUUGAUUGUAAAAUCCUUAAUUGUUUUUCUUUAUUGUUUUUGCCUUAUUAUUGUAAUGAUUCAAUUACUAUAGUAUUUUUGUUAACUCUAUUAAAGUAGUAAUUUAAUUGGAUCUGUUGUUGGCUUUCUUUAUGCUGUGUUACAGAGUCAAUUUGGUGCCGUGACCAGGAUCUGCUGCAUCUAUCAGUGUCAGUUGCAUCACGAACGGGUUCAACUUGCCAAGGAAAUUUAAUUCGGAAUCUUCUACAUUCUCUCUGUAGUCUGUUUACCUGGACGCAUGAAUGACAGAGGUCAUUCGACCGUGCAGAAUGCAGCGCUUAGACAAGGACGUACUUGUACACGUGCCGGGGGCAACAGAGCAGAACCGUGAAGACCGCUACCUGGACGCCAAUCAAGGACACAGUUACUGGUGAACCAACACUCUUCUCGAUGAUCUACUCACUGACCAGGACGUUCUGACAAUUGUUGUCAUUCGAGUGUGGCUGAUUGACAGUUAAACUAAUUACUACACAAAGACUGUGUAAACGUAUUUUAACGACUGGAUCUUUUAUGGACAGUUUACGAGCUUCAAAAGUAAUGACCACGUUAAUGCCCACGCAUCAGUGACAAGGGGGCGUUUCUAGUGACCGUAUAUACGAACUGACAUGGACAGAGUGAAGCAGUCCUCAACCGACCACCAGUGAGGAACGGUCUCCCUCUGUUGUUACACCCGGCUUCCCAAAGUGUUGUCUGACUUUUUAUUAUUAUAUUUUUCAUUACUCUUGUUCAGUGACUCUGACAUUCUAAAAGACUUUAAAUUAUUAUCAACAAUUAUUCUUUGAUUGUAAAAUCCUUAAUUGUUUUUCUUUAUUGUUUUUGCCUUAUUAUUGUAAUGAUUCAAUUACUAUAGUAUUUUUGUUAACUCUAUUAAAGUAGUAAUUUAAUUGGA